rnacentral:rRNA from 1 species
UAAUACGUAGGGGGCAAGCGUUUUCCGGAAUUAUUGGGCGUAAAGCGCGCGCAGGCGGUUCCUUAAGUCUGAUGUGAAAGCCCACGGCUCAACCGUGGAGGGUCAUUGGAAACUGGGGAACUUGAGGACCGAAGAGGAGAGUGGAAUUCCCCGUGUAGCGGUGAAAUGCGUAGAUAUGUGGAGGAACACCAGUGGCGAAGGCGACUCUCUGGUCUGUUUCUGACGCUGAGGUGCGAAAGCGUGGGUAGCAAACAGGAUUAGAUACCCUGGUAGUCCACGCCGUAAACGAUGAGUGCUAGGUGUUAGGGGGCUUCCACCCCUUAGUGCUGAAGUUAACGCAUUAAGCACUCCGCCUGGGGAGUACGGCCGCAAGGCU